UGUUCUGUGGCGAAGUUGGUUAACGUACCCUCUCUAGCGAAGUGAGGAGACGUGGGUUCAAAUCCCACCAGAACUA
rfam:Aedes albopictus isolate Foshan contig71376, whole genome shotgun sequence.